rnacentral:pre_miRNA from 1 species
AGUGGAAUUGCUGGGUCCUAUGGUAAGGUUAUGAUUAAUUUUUUAAGAAACUGCCAAACGGUUUUCCAAAGUAACUGUACUAUUUUAUAUUUCCACCAGCAAU